GGGGAUAACUACGGGAAACUGUAGCUAAUACCGCGUAGUAUCGGAAGAUGAAAGUGUGGGACCGUAAGGCCACAUGCCAUAGGAUGAGCCCAAGUGGGAUUAGGUAGUUGGUGAGGUAAUGGCUCACCAAGCCGACGAUCUCUAGCUGGUCUGAGAGGAUGACCAGCCACACCGGGACUGAGACACGGCCCGG
rnacentral:rRNA from 1 species